rnacentral:rRNA from 1 species
UACGGGGGUAGCGAACGUUAUCCUGAAUUACUGGGCGUAAAGAGAUGCGUAGGCGUUUUAUUAAGCCUCUGGUUAAAUUCUGCAGCUUAACUGUAGACCUGCUAGAGAAACUAAUAGAAUUGAGAAAAGCAGAGGGAAGUAGAAUUCUCCGAGGAGAGGUAAAAUUCGUUGAUAAGGAGAGGAAUACCAAUGGUGAAGGCAACUUCCUGGGCUUUUUCUGACGCUAAGGCUCGAAAGCGUGGGGAGCAAAACGG